UGUACGAUGUUGGAGGCAUUGUUUG
rnacentral:misc_RNA from 1 species